UACGGAGGAUGCGAGCGUUAUCCGGAUUUAUUGGGUUUAAAGGGUGCGUAGGCGGGCUUUUAAGUCAGCGGUAAAAAUUCGGGGCUCAACCCCGUCCGGCCGUUGAAACUGGGGGUCUUGAGUGGCGAGAAGAAGGCGGAAUGCGUGGUGUAGCGGUGAAAUGCAUAGAUAUCACGCAGAACCCCGAUUGCGAAGGCAGCCUUCCGGCGCCCUACUGACGCUGAGGCACGAAAGUGCGGGGAUUGAACAGG
rnacentral:rRNA from 1 species